rnacentral:rRNA from 1 species
GUGGGGAAUCUUGCGCAAUGGGCGAAAGCCUGACGCAGCCAUGCCGCGUGAAUGAUGAAGGUCUUAGGAUUGUAAAAUUCUUUCACCGGGGACGAUAAUGACGGUACCCGGAGAAGAAGCCCCGGCUAACUUCGUGCCAGCAGCCGCGGUAAUACGAAGGGGGCUAGCGUUGUUCGGAAUUACUGGGCGUAAAGCGCACGUAGGCGGACUUUUAAGUCAGGUGUGAAAUCCCGGGGCUCAACCUCGGAACUGCAUUUGAAACUGGAAGUCUUGAGAUCAGGAGAGGUUAGCGGAAUACCGAGUGUAGAGGUGAAAUUCGUAGAUAUUCGGUGGAACACCAGUGGCGAAGGCGGCUAACUGGACUGAUACUGACGCUGAGGUGCGAAAGUGUGGGGAGCAAACAGGAUUAGAUACCCCAGUAGUCC